GUGGGGAAUAUUGGACAAUGGGCGAAAGCCUGAUCCAGCCAUGCCGCGUGUGUGAAGAAGGUCUUCGGAUUGUAAAGCACUUUAAGUUGGGAGGAAGGGCAGUAAGUUAAUACCUUGCUGUUUUGACGUUACCAACAGAAUAAGCACCGGCUAACUUCGUGCCAGCAGCCGCGGUAAUACGAAGGGUGCAAGCGUUAAUCGGAAUUACUGGGCGUAAAGCGCGCGUAGGUGGUUCAGCAAGUUGGAGGUGAAAUCCCCGGGCUCAACCUGGGAACUGCCUCCAAAACUACUGAGCUAGAGUACGGUAGAGGGUAGUGGAAUUUCCUGUGUAGCGGUGAAAUGCGUAGAUAUAGGAAGGAACACCAGUGGCGAAGGCGACUACCUGGACUGAUACUGACACUGAGGUGCGAAAGCGUGGGGAGCAAACAGGAUUAGAAACCCGAGUUAGUCC
rnacentral:rRNA from 1 species